rnacentral:sRNA from 1 species
CAAUAAAUCUGCCAAGCAAAUAAGCAACGUGUCUGUAUAAAGACAACGUUGCUUAUUUAUUUGGCAGAUAAACAGACAUGAGCAAGAAGGGCGAAUAGCCCGGAAUGCGAAUAGCUGUACGAUUUCGAAAGUCCAACGGACGGAGAAAUCGGUAUUAUUG